UAGGGAAUCUUGCGCAAUGGGCGAAAGCCUGACGCAGCCAUGCCGCGUGAAUGAUGAAGGUCUUAGGAUUGUAAAAUUCUUUCACCGGGGACGAUAAUGACGGUACCCGGAGAAGAAGCCCCGGCUAACUUCGUGCCAGCAGCCGCGGUAAUACGAAGGGGGCUAGCGUUGCUCGGAAUUACUGGGCGUAAAGGGCGCGUAGGCGGACAGUUUAGUCAGAGGUGAAAGCCCAGGGCUCAACCUUGGAAUUGCCUUUGAUACUGACUGUCUUGAGUACGGGAGAGGUGUGUGGAACUCCGAGUGUAGAGGUGAAAUUCGUAGAUAUUCGGAAGAACACCAGUGGCGAAGGCGACACACUGGCCCGUUACUGACGCUGAGGCGCGAAAGCGUGGGGAGCAAACA
rnacentral:rRNA from 1 species